AUGCCGGAUGGGGUUAACGACACGUCCAUUGUGCUAAUUCCUAAAGUGCCACACCCGAGAGAGCUGAAGGAUUUCCGGCCCAUUAGUUUGUGCAAUGUGGUGUAUAAGAUCGUGUCAAAGUGCACGGUAAAUAGGCUUCGGCCUCUCUUAACUGAGCCUAUUUAUAAAAAUCAAAGUGCCUUCAUCCCUGGGAGGCUCAUCGCUGAUAAUUCCAUCAUUGCGUUUGAGUGCAUUCAUCACAUCCAAACAGCCAAUGCAAAUUCUACACUGCUGUGUGCUUACAAACUGGACUUGUCAAAGGCUUACGACCGUGUUGAUUGGAACUUCCUGGAGAGGGCUCUUUCUAAGUGGGGAUUCUUCGAUGAAUGGAUCUCCCGCGUUAUGGCAUGCGUUACAUCAGUGAAGUACUCAGUGAAAUUCAAUGGGAAAUUGUUGGAGCCCUUCUCCCCCUCGAGAGGGCUCCACCAAGGUGAUCCGUUAUCCCCCUUCCUCUUCCUCUUUGUGGCUGAUGCUCUUUCUAUUCAUUUGAAUAAGUCAGUGAGAGAAGAAGGAUUACAAGGGGUCAAGAUAUGCAGGGGUGCUCCGGUUAUAUCACACCUUUUGUUUGCGGAUGACUCACUUCUGUUUUUUCACGCAUCAGAACAGCAAGCUAAUUUAGUUAAAGGUGUGUUGAACACGUAUACGUCGGCGACUUGA
rnacentral:rRNA from 1 species